rnacentral:tRNA from 1 species
AUCUAAUUAGUUUAAGAAAAAUAUAAAUUUGUGGAGUUUAAGAUAUAUCUAUAUUAGAUA